CGGUAUUCCUGUGGCAAGGAAAAAAUUUCCAAGCCCUUGAAAGAACCAGGAGUUGAUCGAGGGGUGGCACCUGCCGGGAAACCCGUCCGGAGGCCGUGCCCGCUAUCCGCCUUCAGCAGCGUUUCCCGGGAGAGACGGCAGGAAUGUGCCGCGGGAGCAGGAGGAGGGGGGCGGAGGGAUGGAUGCUCCUGCUCAGGCCCGGCUCCAGUUCCGCCGCGCUGCCGCCAGAGAGAGCUCGAAGCCCGCGGGCCGAGCAGCGCCGAGCGCAUCCCGCAUCCUCAUCCCGCAUCCUCAUCCCGCAUCCUCAUCCCGCAUCCUGAAUCCCGCAUCCCGAAUACCGCAUCCUCAUCCCGCAUCCUCAUCCCGCAUCCUGAAUCCCGCAUCCCGAAUAUCCCGCAUUCUCAUCCUGCAUCCUCAUCCCGCAUCCCGCAUUCUCAUCCUGCAUCCUCAUCCCGCAUCCCGCAUUCUCAUCCUGCAUCCUCAUCCCGCAUCCCGCAUUCUCAUCCUGCAUCCUCAUCCCGCAUCCCGCAUUCUCAUCCUGCAUCCUCAUCCCGCAUCUCGCAUCCCACAUCCCCAUCCACAUCCUGCAUCCCACAUCCUCAUCCCGCAUUCCAGCGGGAGCUCGGGCAGCUCCCAAGGGCUGGGACAUCAGCCAGGAGAGCCGAGGGACACCCAGCACCUCUGGCACCCACUCAGCCUGUCUAGCACGGCAUCACCGUGGUCCAAACUCCUGAAAAGCGAGUCAGGAAAUGCAAGAGGGAUGGAAUGGGAUUUUUUGCAAGAGCAUGGGUUUACAGCACAUGGCAGAAUGGCUUCAAACUGUAAGAGAGAAUGUUUAGAUAGGAUACUUGGGAAAAAAAUCCUUACUGUGAGGGUCAUGAUGCACCAAAACAGGUUUCCAAGGAUGAAUGCCUCAUCCCCAUAAGAGUUCAAGGCCAGGUUGGAUAAAACUGAGCAACCUGGUGUAGUGAAAAGUGUCCCUGUCCAUAGCAGGGUUUUGGAACUUGCUGGUCUUUAGGGUCCCUUCCAACCCUAGGCCAUUUUAUGAUUCUAAGGUUCUGUGUUAUCAGUGAGCUCCUAUGAAUAUGCUGGUGAAUUCUUGGAACCAAAUACACACAAACAUAAACACAAUCACUUGUGACCUCCCUUACACUGUUUUAUGUUUCUACACCUCUCUUAUAUUGAUUUAUGGAUUACCCCUUAAAGAUCUGCCAAUGCUGGUCAGUUGACCAGACGGAUGUUCUGAGGGAGUCGACCCCCAGCUGCUGCAAGAGGACAGGUCCUGUAGCAAGAGGGCAGGCAGCAGCCUGGAAUAGUUGUGAGGUACUCUGGAGACACUGUGCCACUUGUGUGCUCACCACUGCUCUCCUGGGCACCCUGGCUCUUUUUCUUAGAGCUCUUGUUUGCAGCACACCAAAGAGCAGCCCCUGGUUUUGCAGGCAGUGAGGG
rnacentral:lncRNA from 12 species